UAUCCUCAAUGGGGAAAAACAGAGCUUUCCCCCUGAGGUCAGGAACACGACAGGGAUGUCCACUCUCACCACUUUUAUUCAACAUAGUACUGGACAUC